CUAGAAAUUGAGAACGUUAAUUAC
rnacentral:snRNA from 1 species